rnacentral:sRNA from 1 species
UUUGUGGCUGGAGGACACGACGAAGACAAGAACGCGAUGAUGUCAGCUCUGGUGUAUGACGUGGCAGAAGACAGAUGGGCU